CGCAACUUCACCAAAGCCACCAACAUCUGCCUACGUUUCCUGCGCACCAACAACACACUGCUGGGUCACCUCAUGGGCAAGGCGCUGCGGGCCCCCACAGUCAUGCACCAGGUGACGUGAGAGGACGCAGUGCCGCCAUGUUAGCGUUCCCAGUACGAGCCAUCUGCCGCUUGCUGGCCAGGCCUCAGACCCGAAGCGAGUGCGACCUCCUUGUCCUCACUCAGACGUGAGGCCCCGAGGGCAAUGUGCCAUCGCAGCGCAAAGUCCUCUGUAUCCC